CUCCAUUCCUCAACUCCUUUCUCCAAGCCAAUAACUUUUGGCAGCUGGAUGACUCCUGACCUGAAAGCUUGUGACUUUUUCCUUGAGGCUGAGACAGAGCUGUGACUGUUGUAAAACUCCUGCCACCCACAGCUCAGCAAAAUCUCAGGCGCCAUUGUAGAGCAGCCAUUGAAUCAACACAGAGAGGCGGCAGCGUGCCUCUGACUCACCAGGAACCCAGCUCCUCACUGUUCCGCCUGCAAACAGACCUCAAAGCUCCUUGUUCCUUGCUUUGUGCUGCUGAACGCAAGUGGUAGACACGGAAGGAUCAGAGGGACUCAGGGCAUUGCCCUCAGGGGAGUUCUUGGUGCUCAAUGCCUGCAUACCUCACUUAUGCCAUGAAGGUAUUCCUUAAAGGAAAUGAUAAAAAUAUCACUUUGAUGAGGAAUCGAAAAUUAACCAACUCGAUAAGUGGAAUACCCAGGAUUCCCCAAACGGACUGGCUUCAAGAAGGGUAUCCUUUUUACCACACCACACUGCCUUAUUAGACCAUUUCCAAAUUAAUUAUGGCACUUAGAGUUCAUAUUCCAUAGGAAUACAUUCAUAUAAUUGUACCUUUUCUCUUACUUCUCAGGGACUAAAAUAAAAGUAGGGUAUAAAUUGUUUUACUUUUAUACUCUACGUAUCCAGAGGUUGCAGAUGGGCAGCCCACAGGGCGCCUUGUUUUGCUUGACUAGAAUGCUGUUGAUCCACUUGGUAUUUUAAUAAAUUUUGAAUAAGUUGCCAACAUUUAAACAAUUAGAAGAUUUUUCUUGAAAUGUUUUGAUUUCCAGCUGCCUUUGACAGCAAAGAGCUGAUGUCCUCACCAGGUAGACAGCCCCUAAAUCAGAGGACUGUGCCCUCUCAGUUAAUUAAAGCCUCCACAUCUUCCUGUUGUAUUCCCAGCACUGAAAUCAAAGAGUAGUAGCUUUUUACCACCAUGUGUUUACUGAUAUUUUUCUUAGUGUAAAAAGAAGAGGAAAAUGAACUUGUG
rnacentral:lncRNA from 1 species